rnacentral:rRNA from 1 species
GUGAGGAAUAUUGGUCAAUGGACGGAAGUCUGAACCAGCCAUGCCGCGUGCAGGAAUAAGGUCCUAUGGAUUGUAAACUGCUUUUAUUCGGGAAUAAACCUCUUUACGUGUAGGGAGCUGAAGGUACCGAAGGAAUAAGCACCGGCUAACUCCGUGCCAGCAGCCGCGGUAAUACGGAGGGUGCAAGCGUUAUCCGGAAUCAUUGGGUUUAAAGGGUCCGCAGGCGGGCUAUCAAGUCAGAGGUGAAAUCCCACAGCUUAACUGUGGAACUGCCUUUGAAACUGAUGGUCUUGAAUUAAGUGGGCGUUGGCGGAAUAUGACAUGUAGCGGUGAAAUGCAUAGAUAUGUCAUGGAACACCGAAAGCGAGGGCAGCUAACGAUACUUAUAUUGACGCUCAUGGACGAAAGCGUGGGUAGCGAACAGGAUUAGAUACCCGAGUAGUCC